UACGGUGACUAUAGCGGCGGUGUCCACCUCUUCCCAUCCCGAACAGAGCAGUUAAGCCCGCCUGCGCCGAUGGUACUUCCGUAACAGGCGGGAGAGUAGGUCGUUGCCGUUU
rnacentral:rRNA from 1 species